AUCCUGUUCUGCCGACUAUAUGAGCUAGCUUGAGAGAAAAGUAAAGUUUGCCACUUGAUCAGAAUCCUGUCUUGUGGUCAUUCUUUUUGCGUCUUUUGUCCCCAUUCCCUAUCCCUGACUCUCUUGCCCCAGGUUGAUGUCCUGCAGGUCAGGACAACUGGUGCCCAAAGUGAGGCUGGAUAGAGUUGGGGAUCUGGGAACUUCAGUGCUCAUUAGAGGGACGGCCUGUCCAUGCAGUGAGGCGUCCAAGACAAGGUCUAUUGUGAGCCUCGGUUGGAGGAAGACCCAGCAGCCUGCCCAGCACUUGGGACUUUCGGUUCAUGAGCACCAACUACAUGGAAAAGAUACACAAAUAAUGGAAUCUUUUCUCCCACUUACAGUGAGUAGGGAAAGGCCAAGACAGCUAGAAGAGCUUGCUCAAGCUGGAACUACUGAUUCUACUCAGGAGAGAGGCUUGAUUGAAGGGCCAACAGGCCCUCAGCCAAUCAUCUCACUGUACCCUCUCCACCCAGAACAUGUGCCUUCCAGGGAAGCAUGCAUAUAUGACCAGUUAGAAGGUCCAGAUGCACCACCUUACUCUAAUGGUAUUUACGUGUGUGUGUGUGUGUGUGUGUGUGUGUGUGUGUGUGUGUGUGUGUGUGUGUGUGAAUAUAAGACAUUGAGACAACAACCGUGUCAUUAACAUGGCAACCCCAUUCUGAAAAUUUUUCCUCUAUAUUAGUUAACCCAACAGCACAAAUGUAACAAGAAAAGUAAAGAUUCAAGCUGAAUCAAGGUCACUUUCAUUCUGGUUUGAGGGACUAUGUCAAAAUAAAAUUUUGUCCUUCUCAGACAUCACAGCCUCAGGCUCUGAAUAAAUUUAUCUGUCUGUAUCUGAAGAAGAAAUAAAUUAUUUUUCGGCUAUUAAUUUGAAAACCCUGUACUUGCAACUUUC
rnacentral:lncRNA from 1 species